UGAGGAAUAUUGGACAAUGGGCGCAAGCCUGAUCCAGCCAUGCCGCGUGCAGGAAGAAGCAUCUAUGGUGUGUAAACUGCUUUUGUACAGGAAGAAACACUCCCUCGUGAGGGAGCUUGACGGUACUGUAAGAAUAAGGAUCGGCUAACUCCGUGCCAGCAGCCGCGGUAAUACGGAGGAUCCAAGCGUUAUCCGGAAUCAUUGGGUUUAAAGGGUCCGUAGGCGGUUUGAUAAGUCAGUGGUGAAAGC
rnacentral:rRNA from 1 species